rnacentral:pre_miRNA from 1 species
CUUCCAUGGGGCCUUCCCUUCCUAAUUUUUCCCAGAGUUGGGAGAAGCCGGGUUGAAAGGGUGAAAAGAAAAAACA